AUUCCUUUCUUCUUCCUCCUUAAGGUCUAAACGUUUAUUGAACGGAGGCUCAAAACCGAGUUACUGAACUAGGCUUUCAGUAGUAGACACGUGUCAUGUUUAAGAUUUAUUUUAUUCAUUUCCAUCCAUUGUGCCAAAGGACCUGCUCCAGGAAAAUGCUCCCCUGUUGAUAGGUGCGGGAGAGUAAAAGGGAGACGAUGAAGCUAAAUUAAAACUGAAGUCCUUUGUGCUCAGGGAAUAUGACCUUAGAGUGGGAGAGGGGCGGGGAGUGAGUAGAAAAGUCGGCGAAGCAAAAAUAAGGAAGGUUGGGGCCCUGUAACCUAGCAUCCUGAAAUAUCAGCGUAGGUAAGGUAGCAGGCAAGGCACGAAUGCACUCAAAGCCCAGGUGUACUUCCCUCAUCAAAUGCUGGCUCCCGAAGGGUACUGAGGGGAGGGGUCACGCGGGGGGAGGGGGGGUGUCCCUGGAUGGUUUUUUCCUCUUUAGGGACCUGCUUGCCGGAUGAUUCCGUCUCCCACUUGCUUCUCUUCGGCUCCUUCUUUCCCAUCUGCCAGGGGAGCUUAAAGACAUCUCUGCCGCCCAGUUACAAAAAGUGGCAACUUCCCCUCCGGCCCGCAGACUGAUCGCUCAUUUGAAUGCGUUUCCUUUUCAUUAAGAACAAAGGUUGGAGUCCGAGCCUCGCGGCGCGGCGGCCGGAAAGUACAAGAUGUGUGUCGAGAGCAAACACACACACACACACACACACACACACACACAGAAUGACCCACGAGAAAGGGAAAGGGGAAAACACCAAUCCUGCGCUGGGCUUUUUCGACUUUUCCUUUAAAAAGAAAAAAGUUUUUCAAGCUGUAGGUUCCAAGAACCGGCAGGAGGGGGGCGAGGCGGGGUGGGGGGGUGUACAGAAAAGGCGCCUGGUCGGUUAUGAGUCACAAGUGGGUUAUAAAAGGGUCGCACGUUCGCAGGCGCGGGCUUCCUGUGCGCGGCUGAGCCGGGGCGCAGCGCGACGGUCCCAUCGGGCGGCCUCCACCCUCGGGACGCGAGCGGAGCGCCGAGCCCAGCGGCGAUCACGCGACGCGGGGAAGGAAGGAAGAUCUCUCCUUUCAAAGAUAACUAGCCAAAUGAACAUAAUAAACAAGUCCAAGCAGUUGGAGGGGCGGCCGCCACCCCACCGUCUCCAAAUAACUGAUUCGCAUUUCCGAGACGGUUCACCUGAAGCCUUGCCUGCCACCUUGGUUCUCCCACCUGAAGGAGAUGGUUCUAAUGGUGGUGCAAACCAGGAAGGGGAAAUCUGUGGUUUACGUUCUCUGUGCCUCAUCCCUCUCGGAGAGCUGGAGGCUUGCUGGAGGCUAUAUGCUGUUAAUGCUAAUUGUGAUAGGGGUUUUUACCUCCGUCUGACUCCUACAUGUUAGCAUUAACAGGGUAUGAUGCCUGUUACUAGCAUUCACAUGGAACAAACUGCUGCUGUGGGAGGAUGACAAAGAAGUGUGAGUCACCCUGCUGGAUAAACUCAGACUUUAAGCUUUAUUAUUUUUUGUUAAUCAUAAUCUGGUCACUGGGAUGUUCCACCUGAUAGUAAGUCUUUAAGAAUAAGGUCUUGUAAAAGAUUUAUCAACGGUAUCCUGAAAGCAAACUUUUUUACUUUAAUCCUUAAGCCCACAUUUUUUUUAAAAAAAUCUUUAAUGGAAAAUGUAUUCCUGUCCUUUUUAAUUCACAGUUAUGGUUUGUUCAUUAUAACUGUUUAUAAACACUUUGAAUAAUUUAACUAGAAAGAAAUAUAAACACAUUCUGAGUAUCUUUGCAGUUAAAAAUUAGGACUACUAUCCACUAAUUAAUCAUGGAUUGUUGGGAAAUAUGUUCAAAAAGAUUUAGAAAUUGGUAUUUCCCCCAUGUAACAAUUCUAUUUAGACAACUUCAGUUUCAAAUGGAUACUUUUAUAUGAAUCUUAAAGUAGACUUGAAAGGCUAUGGCAAUUAGUUUUUAAAAAAUGAAAGAUUUCAUUCUUUUUUAUGGCUGAGUAGUAUUCCAUUGCAUAUAUAUACCACAUAUCCUUAAUCCACCCAUUCGUCUGUCGCUGGACAUUUAGGCUGUUUCCAUUUGCAGCAACAUGGAUGCAAAUAGAGAUUCUCAUACUAAAUGAAGUUAAGUCAGAAAGAUAAAGACAAAUUCCAUAUGAUAUCAGUUAUAUGUGGACUCAAAAAUAUGGCACAAAUGAACCUAUCUACAAAACAGAAACAGACCCACAGACAUAGAGAAUAGACUUGUGGUUGCCAAGGGGGAGGGAAGAGGGAGUGGGAUGGAUGGGCAGUUUGGGGUUAGUAGAUACAGACUAUUACAUUUAGAUUAGAUGGGCAAUGAGGUCCUACUAUUCAGCACGGGGAACUAUAUCCAGUCUCUUGGGAUAGACCAUGAUGGAAGAUAAUAUAAGACAAGGAAUGAAUAUAUACAUAUGACUGGGUCACCUUGCUGCAAUAGCAGAACUUGCCACAACGUUGUACAUCAACUAUACGUUAAUAAAAAAAUCAAAAAGAUUUUUUAAACUUAGUAC
rnacentral:lncRNA from 1 species